AUGAGUUUGUUUCAGGCACAAAAUACAGUUAGAACGUGUACACGUCAGAAAAAGAAAGGCAGAGCUUUCUUUAUAACCUUGCCGAUAGAAUUUCUAACAUUAUGCAUGUGGCAUCUUGGCAAGAUAUGUAAUCCUGGAAGCAUGGAAGUUUUCUAUUUAGUUUGUUUAUUUCUGCUGCCACCUAUUUUAUCAAAAUAUUUGCAUUUUAUAAAGAUUACUGCUUCACUACUAGUACUUGUCAUCAUAAUGCAAACUAAAGGUAUCUGUUCUGAACUCAAUUACCAGCAUUGGCAGCUGAACAAAGUUCUCCUUUUCUGUGUGAACUAG
rnacentral:rRNA from 1 species